AAACUGAAGAGUUUGAUCAUGGCUCAGAUUGAACGCUGGCGGCAGGCCUAACACAUGCAAGUCGAGCGGAAACGAAGGGAGCUUGCUCCCAGGCGUCGAGCGGCGGACGGGUGAGUAAUGCAUAGGAAUCUGCCCGAUAGUGGGGGAUAACCUGGGGAAACCCAGGCUAAUACCGCAUACGUCCUACGGGAGAAAGCAGGGGCUCUUCGGACCUUGCGCUAUCGGAUGAGCCUAUGUCGGAUUAGCUGGUUGGUGAGGUAAUGGCUCACCAAGGCGACGAUCCGUAGCUGGUCUGAGAGGAUGAUCAGCCACAUCGGGACUGAGACACGGCCCGAACUCCUACGGGAGGCAGCAGUGGGGAAUAUUGGACAAUGGGCGAAAGCCUGAUCCAGCCAUGCCGCGUGUGUGAAGAAGGCCCUCGGGUUGUAAAGCACUUUCAGUGGGGAAGAAAGCCUUGGGGCUAAUACCCUCGAGGAAGGACAUCACCCACAGAAGAAGCACCGGCUAACUCCGUGCCAGCAGCCGCGGUAAUACGGAGGGUGCGAGCGU
rnacentral:rRNA from 1 species